AUUGAACGCUGGCGGCAUGCCUUACACAUGCAAGUCGAACGGUAACAGAUCUUCGGGUGCUGACGAGUGGCGAACGGGUGAGUAAUACAUCGGAACGUGCCUAGUAGUUGGGGAUAACUACUCGAAAGAGUGGCUAAUACCGCAUGAGAUCUACGGAUGAAAGCAGGGGAUCGCAAGACCUUGUGCUACUAGAGCGGCCGAUGGCAGAGUAGGUAGUUGGUGGGAUAAAAGCUUACAAAGCCGACGAUCUGUAGCUGGUCUGAGAGGACGAUCAGCAACACUGGGACUGAAACAGGGCCCAGACUCAUACUGGAGGCAGCAGUGGGGAAUUUUGGACAAUGGGCGCAAGCCUGAUCCAGCAAUGCCGCGUGCAGGAUGAAGGCCUUCGGGUUGUAAACUGCUUUUGUACGGAACGAAAAGCCCUGGGUUAAUACCCUGGGGUCAUGACGGUACCGUAAGAAUAAGCACCGGCUAACUACGUGCCAGCCGCCGCCGUAACAC
rnacentral:rRNA from 1 species